GCCUUCCUGGCUCAGCAGAGCGUCUGCCUAGGAAGCAGAAGGUCGUGAGUUUGAUUCUCACGGAAGGCA